AGUGAACGCUGGCGGUAGGCCUAACACAUGCAAGUCGAACGGCAGCACAGUAAGGGCUGGCUCUUACGGGUGGCGAGCGCCGGACGGGGGAGGAAUACAUCGGAAUCUACUUUUUCGUGGGGGAUAACGUAGGGAAACUUACGCUAAUACCGCAUACGUCCUACGGGUGAAACCAGCGGAUCCUCGGACCUUGCGCGAUGGAGUGAGGCAAUGUCGGCUCAACUAGCUGGCGGGGUAAAGGCCGACCAAGGCGACGAUCUGUAGCUGGUCUCAGAGGAUGAUCAGCCACCCUGUAAGUGAGACACGGUCCACACUCCUACGGGAGGCAGCAGUGGGGAAUCUUGGACAAUGGACGCGUGCCUGAUCCAGCCCAACCGCGGGGAGGAAGAAGGCCCCCGGCCGGUAGAGCCCUUUUGUUGGGAAAGUAGAGCAGCAGGUUAGUCCCCCGCGGUUCUGACGGUACCCGAAGAAUAAGCCCCGGCUAACUUCGUG
rnacentral:rRNA from 1 species